rnacentral:tRNA from 1 species
GGGAUGUAACUCAGUGGUAGGGUCUGCUUCGCAUGCUGAAAGUCCUGGGUUCAAAUCCCAGACCUUCCU